rnacentral:rRNA from 1 species
GAGUUUGAUCCUGGCUCAGAACGAACGCUGGCGGCGUGCUUAACACAUGCAAGUCAGGGAGAAAGUCUCUUCGGGGAUGAUUAAACCGGCGCACGGGUGAGUAACACGUGAGUGACCUGCCUUUUAGACUGGAACAACUUACCGAAAGGUGAGCUAAUGCCGGAUGAGUUAUAUAAGUGCAUGUUUAUAUAGGAAAAGUUGGGGAGACCUGACGCUGAAAGAUGGACUCGCGUCCCAUUAGCUAGUUGGUAGGGUAAUGGCCUACCAAGGCGACGAUGGGUAGCCGGCCUGAGAGGGUGGCCGGCCACACUGGGACUGAGACACGGCCCAGACUCCUACGGGAGGCAGCAGUGGGGAAUUUUGCGCAAUGCUCGUAAGAGUGACGCAGCGACGCCGCGUGAAUGACGAAGGCCUUCGGGUCGUAAAGUUCUUUCGACAGGGAAGAAAAUGCCUAUAAGUAACUGUGUAUGUAUUGACGGUACCUGUAUAAGCAGCCCCGGCUAACUCCGUGCCAGCAGCCGCGGUAAUACGGAGGGGGCGAGCGUUGUUCGGAGUGACUGGGCGUAAAGAGCACGUAGGCGGUGUUGUAAGUCAUUAGUCAAAGACUAGAGCUCAACUUUAGUAAGGCUAGUGAUACUAUAAUACUAGAGUAUCAGAGAGGAUUGCAGAAUUCCUGGUGUAGCGGUGAAAUGCGUAGAUAUCAGGAGGAAUACCGUUAGCGAAGGCGGCAAUCUG